rnacentral:rRNA from 1 species
GAUUGGACGGGGAUACUCACACAUGCAAGUCGUACAAUGGUAGCCAGCUUGCUGGGUGGAUCAGUGGCGAACGGGUGAGUAACACGUGAGCAACCUGCCCUCCACUUCGGGAUAAGCCUUGGAAACGGGGUCUAAUACCGGAUAUGAGCACUCAUCGCAUGGUGGGUGUUGGAAAGUUUUUCGGUGGGGGAUGGGCUCGCGGCCUAUCAGCUUGUUGGUGGGGUGAUGGCCUACCAAGGCGUCGACGGGUAGCCGGCCUGAGAGGGCGACCGGCCACACUGGGACUGAGACACGGCCCAGACUCCUACGGGAGGCAGCAGUGGGGAAUAUUGCACAAUGGGCGCAAGCCUGAUGCAGCGACGCCGCGUGAGGGAUGACGGCCUUCGGGUUGUAAACCUCUUUCAGCAGGGAAGAAGCGCAAGUGACGGUACCUGCAGAAGAAGCGCCGGCUAACUACGUGCCAGCAGCCGCGGUAAUACGUAGGGCGCAAGCGUUGUCCGGAAUUAUUGGGCGUAAAGAGCUCGUAGGCGGUCUGUCGCGUCUGGUGUGAAAUCCCGAGGCUCAACCUCGGGCUUGCAUCGGGUACGGGCAGACUAGAGUGCGGUAGGGGAGACUGGAAUUCCUGGUGUAGCGGUGGAAUGCGCAGAUAUCAGGAGGAACACCGAUGGCGAAGGCAGGUCUCUGGGCCGCAACUGACGCUGAGGAGCGAAAGCAUGGGGAGCGAACAGGAUUAGAUACCCUGGUAGUCCAUGCCGUAAACGUUGGGCACUAGGUGUGGGGCUCAUUCCACGAGUUCCGUGCCGCAGCUAACGCAUUAAGUGCCCCGCCUGGGGAGUACGGCCGCAAGGCUAAAACUCAAAGGAAUUGACGGGGGCCCGCACAAGCGGCGGAGCAUGCGGAUUAAUUCGAUGCAACGCGAAGAACCUUACCAAGGCUUGACAUGUACGAGAACACGCUAGAGAUAGCGGACUCUUUGGACACUCGUAUACAGGUGGUGCAUGGUUGUCGUCAGCUCGUGUCGUGAGAUGUUGGGUUAAGUCCCGCAACGAGCGCAACCCUCGUCCUAUGUUGCCAGCGGGUUAUGCCGGGGACUCAUGGGAGACUGCCGGGGUCAACUCGGAGGAAGGUGGGGAUGACGUCAAAUCAUCAUGCCCCUUAUGUCUUGGGCUUCACGCAUGCUACAAUGGCCGGUACAGAGGGCUGCGAUACCGUAAGGUGGAGCGAAUCCCAAAAAGCCGGUCUCAGUUCGGAUUGGGGUCUGCAACUCGACCCCAUGAAGUCGGAGUCGCUAGUAAUCGCAGAUCAGCAACGCUGCGGUGAAUACGUUCCCGGGCCUUGUACACACCG